UACAGAGGUCUCAAGCGUUGUUCGGAUUCAUUGGGCGUAAAGGGUGUGUAGGUGGCGCCGUAAGUCGGGUGUGAAAUUUCGGAGCUUAACUCCGAAACUGCAUUCGAUACUGCGGUGCUUGAGGACUGGAGAGGAGACUGGAAUUUACGGUGUAGCAGUGAAAUGCGUAGAUAUCGUAAGGAAGACCAGUGGCGAAGGCGGGUCUCUGGACAGUUCCUGACAGCUGA
rnacentral:rRNA from 1 species